ensembl:snRNA U6 U6 spliceosomal RNA
GUGCUCACUCACUUUGGCAGCACAUAUACUAAAAUUAGAAAGAUACAGAGAAGAUUAGCCUGGCCCCUGCGCAUGGAUGACACACAAAUUCGAAAAUCAAUGUGCAGAUUC